rnacentral:misc_RNA from 1 species
CGGGGAAAAUGAUGAUAAUUGAAAACUAAUAAGUAGUUGAAGUAUGUAUAUGUACAGAUGCUCAGAAAGGAAGAGACUUAAUUUCAGGGCUCUUGUUUAAAGAACAUAGAAGGGACUAUGUCUUGCAAAAGUCCAUAGUCUGGAACCUGAUACUGGUGGUGAAGAUGUUGGUUAUUAUUGAGACUCUGCGGGUAUAUAGAGCCUGCACCAGCACCAACUUGGUUGCUUAUGUGGGGCGCCAUGUGAAACAAAAAAUCCUGAGGAAAGGUAGGCCUAGAAGUUCCUAUGGGAGCUGGUGUAAGCAUAGAAUGUGAGAACAUAGCUGCAGCAUUUCCUCUAAGCGUUGCAGGGAUCGGAUGAUUAUGUUGCCCUUCAUAUGUUGUUAUCACAAUGGAUGGAUCUUGAAAUGACCUCUCUACUCGUUUCUUCACAGUACAUUUCUGAGUAGUGCACCUGUAAUAGCUCCUUGGAUAAGGACUAUUCUUUACAGCCUUCUGUCCAUACUUUCUCCAUCUAUACCCAUCUUCCAGAUGAUCAACCUCACUCUUAGUCAUGAAGGCAAAUCUUGGCUCUCUUUG